rnacentral:rRNA from 1 species
UACGUAGGGCGCAAGCGUUGUCCGGAAUUAUUGGGCGUAAAGAGCUCGUAGGCGGCUUGUCACGUCGGGUGUGAAAGCCCGGGGCUUAACCCCGGGUCUGCAUUCGAUACGGGCUGGCUAGAGUGUGGUAGGGGAGAUCGGAAUUCCUGGUGUAGCGGUGAAAUGCGCAGAUAUCAGGAGGAACACCGGUGGCGAAGGCGGGUCUCUGGGCCGAUACUGACGCUGAGGAGCGAAAGCGUGGGGAGCGAACAGG